GGUGCUAUCACCGUGAAAUCAAUAUUUAUUGACCGCCUCUUUUAGGCGAAGAAGAUAAUGAUGCUGCUGUUUCUGUUGUUCAGCUAGCGGUAAUAGACACGGCGUAAGUGACAUUAACCUGUCAGUACAAGUCAGCUACAGGAAAUAUGGAUUUGGUCAAAAACAGAACUUUGCACCCACAUCUCCGCGAUGACGAGGCUCUGGUGGUGGAAAACGCCAUCCGUCUGGCCAUAGACUCUGUGAUAAACGUUUUGUACGGCGUAAACAGCGCCAAGAAUUACGAGUAUGAGCGGAUGGUGGCCGACAGGGACAAAGAGAUCCAGCGCCUGGAGUGCAGACUGACAGAGAUGGAGCACGAGCUGCAGGUGCUGCGCCGGCAGGGAUGCAUUUGCGGGCUGUUCAAGAACGAGCACAGCCUCGGCAGGUCCCGGAGCUCCGGUGACCGGCAGAAGGGAGUUCAGAGCGGCUUUGAUCCGGGAUGCGUUGACACCGAGCUGACAGCGGAGCAGCAGGACUGUGAGACGAGUUUAUCGUUGGGUCUUUUCGCAAGACCCCCCUCACAUGUUUCCUCCCACAGCCAGGAGUCAGCUCUUCCAUCUUCCCCCAGCAGAAUGGUCCUGGAGCACACCUGCACCUCCCGCUCCUCCGAGGUUUCGGGUGUAACGGAGGCCGCCAGAAAUAUGCCGACAUCUCCCAGCAGCCUCGUGGUCAAAGAAGAGCCAUGUGACGUCGACACGGUCUUAAUCAAGUGGGAAAUGAGUGAACAUCAGCAGAGCACUGGCAGUCCGUGUCAGGACAAAGAGAGUCUCAGUGCAAAAAAAAAAAUGGAGACUGGAGAAGGAAGGACGUUCAGGGAGAAACCACAGGCAGACCCGGGUGGAGUCGUAAUGACUGAGGCAGAGCACACGAGGAACAAGAAGAAGAGCGUGCCAAUGUCGGAGCUGCCAGAGGAAGCUCAGAGACUGAAGAGGGCAGCCUGGAGAGCAGCUUCCAGACGAUAUUAUGCUCGAAAGAUAGCUCGCCAGCAGGCAAACCCAUCACAAUCCAGCCCCUUCCCCCACAUCGCAAACUCUCAGAAUUCACAGCCCAGCUCUUUUGUGGAUAAGAGGAGGAGGACACUGAUAUCGGAGCUACCUGAAGAGUCUCAGACGCUGCAGAGAGAAGCUUGGAGAGCCGCAUCCAGGAGGUACUACGCUAGAAAAAUCGCUCGGCACCAGACGGAGACGACACAGUACAGAAACCUGCUGGAGAACAUAAACCCAUCUGGAGACACGCAGGGACCCAACAGGGAAGGACCUCACAUGAACACUGGAGGAAUAAUGUGCAGCUGAUAGACAGAAGUUUUACAUUUUAAAUGUUUCUGUUCAGCAGAUUGGAGGGUCCUUUUUACUGCGGUAUGAAGAAUAAUGAAAUCUGACUGUUUGUGUUUUGGUGGCUUUGAAUUAAUAAUGAUGGGAAUUGUCUCAGGUCUGAAUAACAUGAACCUGGUGUUUCAAAUGAGUCAUCUGUGCAUUUCCUCAGUUCAUGACCUCUUGAUGAUGUGUUAGGCAGCAGGUUUAAUCAGAAUCCUAGUACUAGUACCAGCAAAAUUGAACCUUUCACAUAUCACACAUUUCAAAAAUAUAUCAAACUAAAAAAAGAAAUAUUGGGAGAAAUUGUCUUGAUGUUCUAUAAAAUUAAAAGUUGAUCUCGCUCCUGUCAUCCUUCUGUCUCCAGGAAUUUUUGGUGGAGUCAUCCAGUGUCAGACUGUUUUUGAAGUUAACCUUCAUGAGAUCAACUCUACAUUCUGAUUUGUCUCCCUUCAUGUCAGCAAUAUUUGCAUGUACAAAACUUUUACUGGAAAAGAGCCUGAAUAAAUGUAUCAUGAGGCAAUAUGCAUAAAUCCAUGGCACUAACUAACAUGGCAGUACAGCGCCCCUGGAGAGUAACAUCUGUAACUACAGCGUGAGUGCAUCCAUAGUGGCUACAUUUUUAGCUCCACAUCUUUGAUUUCAGUGUCGGGUAAAGAAUUAUUAUUUCAGACAAUGCUGGUAAACUUUAAAGUGUAUUUUUGGACUUUGUCAAAUAUUAAAAACUGUCUUUCCCCUUCCCGUUGAAAUGAACUCCCAUCAGUUUCUGGGUUACACUUCAGUAUUUGAAGCCAGCAAGCAGGGUGAACACAGAAAUGUUAAAAUAUCUCAUUUUGCAGUAAAUGUGUACAAUAAAACAAAGUGACAACGUU
ensembl:lncRNA